ensembl:snoRNA SNORD115 Small nucleolar RNA SNORD115
GGGUCUAUGAUGAAAAACCAAAGUCGUGAAGAGAGGUGAUGACAUAAAAAUCAUGCUCACUGGGGUUCCGCUGAGGCCC